GACGAACGCUGGCGGCGUGCUUAACACAUGCAAGUCGAACGGAAAGGCCUCUUUCGGGGGGUACUCGAGUGGCGAACGGGUGAGUAACACGUGAGUAACCUGCCCUUGACUUUGGGAUAACUUCAGGAAACUGGGGCUAAUACCGGAUAGGAGCUCCUGCUGCAUGGUGGGGGUUGGAAAGUUUCGGCGGUUGGGGAUGGACUCGCGGCUUAUCAGCUUGUUGGUGGGGUAGUGGCUUACCAAGGCUUUGACGGGUAGCCGGCCUGAGAGGGUGACCGGCCACAUUGGGACUGAGAUACGGCCCAGACUCCUACGGGAGGCAGCAGUGGGGAAUAUUGCACAAUGGGUGGAAGCCUGAUGCAGCAACGCCGUGUGCGGGAUGAAGGCCUUCGGGUUGUAAACCGCUUUCGCUCAUGACGAAGCUUUGUGUGACGGUAGUGGGUAAAGAAGCACCGGCUAACUACGUG
rnacentral:rRNA from 1 species